AGCUGCGGUUCCUGAGGCUGCGCAGCAGCCGGGCCGCCCAGCAGGUCUCCUACGCAUGCCGGCCCCGCUGGGCGCGCGGCCAGCGCCAGCCGGACAAGGCCGUGCAGUUCCUGGCGGACUCACGGGAGUGGCGCUACACGGCCUCGCUGCCGGGCUGCGUGCUGGAUAACGACUCAUCCCUCACCGACACCAUCUUCCACUUUGCCACGGAGGAGCUGGCCCUGCUGCCCCUGCGUGACCUGGCCGUGUUCCACAACGGCGACGCCUCGCACCACUUUGGUUUCACCGUGGGGCCUGUUUGCUUCAGCUGAACCCCGAGGCUCCCAGCGCCGUGGUCCCCUGGGCUGGCUGCUUCCCGGGGGAAGGAGCGGGGCUGCUCCAGCCUGUGUUCCGGAGCCGCUGCUUUUCUGCCUGGGAGCCGUGUUUAUAGCUGCAGUAUUCAAUGGACUCCUCUAGAAGAAUAUUGUUUACAAAAGCUGGUUUUGUG